CUGAGGUCAAGGGUCAAGGGCCUCACCGGGAAAUGCCGCUGAGCACAGCUCUCCAGCCGCUGCCCGAGUCCCUCUUGAAAUGGGCAGGGCAGGGAGGGCGUGGGUACCAGCGCAGGUGCUGGGGUUCAUUUCUUAGGCCUGUGUCAUGGCUAUGACCCUUGGCCGGCUGGGGUGGGGGCUGUGUCUAUGACGCCACCAAGGCCCUGGGUGUCCCCGGGGUCCCUCGGAAUAGGAGGUGGAAACGGGUCGGACAAGAGCUGGCCGUGGGGGAAGAGCAAUGGUGUGCGGAGGUGGGGGAGGCCCUAUCUAGGGACAAGCAGAAAACUUAGGGUGGGCAGAUCCCCCCGACCCCUGUGCAGGGGCUGCCGGAGACCAGAGAGGCUGCUGUGUGACCUGGACCAAGCCCCUUGCCCUCUCAUGCCUCAGUUUCCCCUUCUCUCCACGGAGGGAUUGAGCAGGACAUGGAGGGCCCCUUCCAGUAGCCAUUCUGGGACUCCCUGCACCUGUCCCCAGGGGAGGGUCCUGAGCUGGCCUCCACGUGGCUGCUGUUCCCCAUAGUGGAACCUUGUGUGUGGAGACGGCUGGAAGGUCCCGCUGGAGCAGGUUUGGACGCCGGGCAGUUUUUGUGGCCUCCCUGGUGCUGACCACAGGCCUGGGGGCCAGUGAGGCCCUGGCUGCCAGCUUCCCUACCCUGCUGGUCCUGCGCCUACUCCACGGGGGCACAUUGGCAGGGGCCCUCCUCGCCCUGUAUCUGGCUCGUGAGUACCCUGGGGGCUGCUGUCACUGGGGGAGGGGCAGUGGGUGGCCCGCAGGCCUCUGAGGCUCCCUUGCCGAGGGCCCCGAGCUGCAGGGACAGUGAGCAGUGAGUCCCUUGGGCAUCCCGCUCCUGGGCAGGUCACCAAUAGGUCCCCGCAGUUCCCAAUGGAACUGUUCCAGUCCUCCCCGAGGCCUCCACUUCAACCUGUCUGUGUCUGCCCAGGCCUGGAGUUGUGUGACCCUCCCCACCGCCUGGCCUUCUCCAUGGGGGCUGGCCUUUUCUCGGUG
rnacentral:lncRNA from 10 species